GGGAGGUAACCCCCUUCUAAAGCUAAAUACUGGCCAGAGACCGAUAGCGCACAAGUAGAGUGAUCGAAAGAUGAAAAGCACUUUGAAAAGAGAGUUAAAUAGCACGUGAAAUUGUUGAAAGGGAAGCGCUUGCGACCAGACUUGUGCCCGUCGAAUCAGCCGCCGCUCGCCGGCGGCGCACUUCGGCGGGCUCAGGCCAGCAUCAGUUCGCUGCAGGGGGAGAAAGGCGGCGGGAAUGUGGCUCUUCGGAGUGUUAUAGCCCGCCGCGCAAUACCCCUCGGCGGACUGAGGACCGCGCAUCUGCAAGGAUGCUGGCGUAAUGGUCGUCAGCGAC
rnacentral:rRNA from 1 species